GAUGAACGCUGGCGGCGUGCCUAAUACAUGCAAGUCGAGCGAACAGAUAAGGAGCUUGCUCCUUUGACGUUAGCGGCGGACGGGUGAGUAACACGUGGGUAACCUACCUAUAAGACUGGAAUAACUCCGGGAAACCGGGGCUAAUGCCGGAUAACAUUUAGAACCGCAUGGUUCUAAAGUGAAAGAUGGUUUUGCUAUCACUUCUAGAUGGACCCGCGCCGUAUUAGCUAGUUGGUAAGGUAACGGCUUACCAAGGCAACGAUACGUAGCCGACCUGAGAGGGAGAUCGGCCACACUGGAACUGAGACACGGUCCAGACUCCUACGGGAGGCAGCAGUAGGGAAUCUACCGCAAUGGGCGAAAGCCUGACGGAGCAACGCCGCGUGAGGGAUGAAGGUCUUCGGAUCGUAAAACUCUGUUAUUAGGGAAGAACAAAUGUGUAAGUAACUGGGCACGUCUUGACGGUACCUAAUCAGAAAGCCACGGCUAACUACGUG
rnacentral:rRNA from 1 species